UACGAAGGGGGCUAGCGUUGUUCGGAAUCAUUGGGCGUAAAGGGCGUGUAGGCGGUCGAUCAAGUCGGAGGUGAAAUCCCUCGGCUCAACUGAGGAAUUGCCUUCGAUACUGUUCGGCUUGAGUCCUGGAGAGGGUAGCGGAAUUCCCGGUGUAGCGGUGAAAUGCGUAGAGACCGGGAAGAACACCAGUGGCGAAGGCGGCUACCUGGACAGGUACUGACGCUAACAGCGCGAAAGCUAGGGGAGCAAACAGG
rnacentral:rRNA from 1 species